CUCUGUCUCUCUUUCUCUGUCUCUCUCUCUCUCUGUCUCUUUCUCUUCUUCGUUGAAUUCAGUCACCACGGAUGGGUAUUCUCUCUCCUUCUCGAUCUGUCUCGAGCUUUCUCCGUUGUCUCUAACGAGGAUCCGAUCUAAAAGAUGCCAGGCCUAAACCCUCUCAUCUGCUUCGCAAUGUUGUCAUCAUCGUCUUUCCCCAAACCUCCGACCUCGCCGCCUACCUUCGACGCCCCCGUAAUGCCAUUGAAGAGCUCCAGAGCAGCCAGUGCUCCACCGGUCCAAAAGGGUUUUUCUGCAGUGACUGGAGUAGUUAAGUCAGGCUUUAAUACUUCGUGAAUUGAACGGGUGAUAAAGAUCCUAACAAGAGGAACAAACUAGUUCAAGACUUGAAUGAUUUAACUGUGGUGUACUUCAAUCAGCCAUUGAAGCCAAAGAAGAUGAAUCACAGAGAGUUACGUGAUUUGAAGGAAGUGAAUGAAGAGGUUGCCAUGUACAAGGUCAGGUUACUCGAUCUCCCCCCCCCCCCCCCAAUGUUUUUUUUUUAUAUAUAAUUUGUUUGAUAUGUUCAGUGUGUAUUGAUCUUGGAUUAUAAUCAUUUUCCUUCCAUCAGUUUAAGGAUUAUGAUACCAAGAACUCUGGUAUUUUGAAAGAAAUCUGCAGAAACUGUCCUGCAGUACAGCCUUCUUUGGUACUUCUUUUUCCUGACUUACUGACCUCCAAAUGACCUGAAUUUUUGAUAUGUUUCACUUCUGUUAGUUAACAAAGGAUCUGGAAAGUUUCAUCGCAUUUCGACGUAAAGUGAAUGUUCUGUGAAUUUUCCAAGUUUGGUCUGUAAUUGAGAAAGUUCCAGAAUUUUAAAUGUUCCUCUGAUUUUCUGUUGAGAUUUGAACUUCUACUUGAAUCAUUUAAGUUCUGGUUUUUCUGUAUAUUGAACUAGACAUCCCAAUGCUUGUUUGAAAACUAAUUCCUUGUCAUUUGGAUUUGCAAUG